GUUGAAACACCUGUUCCCUUAUGAUCACCGAAAUUAAGCAACGUCGUGCUUUGUCAGCACCUGGAUGUUUGAACGCUUGAGAAUACUAGGAGUUGUAGG